GACGAACGCUGGCGGCGUGCCUAAUACAUGCAAGUCGAACGAACUCUGGUAUUGAUUGGUGCUUGCAUCAUGAUUUACAUUUGAGUGAGUGGCGAACUGGUGAGUAACACGUGGGAAACCUGCCCAGAAGCGGGGGAUAACACCUGGAAACAGAUGCUAAUACCGCAUAACAACUUGGACCGCAUGGUCCGAGCUUGAAAGAUGGCUUCGGCUAUCACUUUUGGAUGGUCCCGCGGCGUAUUAGCUAGAUGGUGGGGUAACGGCUCACAUGAUACGUAGCCGACCUGAGAGGGUAAUCGGCCACAUUGGGACUGAGACACGGCCCAAACUCCUACGGGAGGCAGCAGUAGGGAAUCUUCCACAAUGGACGAAAGUCUGAUGGAGCAACGCCGCGUGAGUGAAGAAGGGUUUCGGCUCGUAAAACUCUGUUGUUAAAGAAGAACAUAUCUGAGAGUAACUGUUCAGGUAUUGACGGUAUUUAACCAGAAAGCCACGGCUAACUACGUGCCAGCAGCCGCGGUAAUACGUAGGUGGCAAGCGUUGUCCGGAUUUAUUGGGCGUAAAGCGAGCGCAGGCGGUUUUUUAAGUCUGAUGUGAAAGCCUUCGGCUCAACCGAAGAAGUGCAUCGGAAACUGGGAAACUUGAGUGCAGAAGAGGACAGUGGAACUCCAUGUGUAGCGGUGAAAUGCGUAGAUAUAUGGAAGAACACCAGUGGCGAAGGCGGCUGUCUGGUCUGUAACUGACGCUGAGGCUCGAAAGUAUGGGUAGCAAACAGGAUUAGAUACCCUGGUAGUCCAUACCGUAAACGAUGAAUGCUAAGUGUUGGAGGGUUUCCGCCCUUCAGUGCUGCAGCUAACGCAUUAAGCAUUCCGCCUGGGGAGUACGGCCGCAAGGCUGAAACUCAAAGGAAUUGACGGGGGCCCGCACAAGCGGUGGAGCAUGUGGUUUAAUUCGAAGCUACGCGAAGAACCUUACCAGGUCUUGACAUACUAUGCAAAUCUAAGAGAUUAGACGUUCCCUUCGGGGACAUGGAUACAGGUGGUGCAUGGUUGUCGUCAGCUCGUGUCGUGAGAUGUUGGGUUAAGUCCCGCAACGAGCGCAACCCUUAUUAUCAGUUGCCAGCAUUAAGUUGGGCACUCUGGUGAGACUGCCGGUGACAAACCGGGGGAAGGUGGGGAUGACGUCAAAUCAUCAUGCCCCUUAUGACCUGGGCUACACACGUGCUACAAUGGAUGGUACAACGAGUUGCGAACUCGCGAGAGUAAGCUAAUCUCUUAAAGCCAUUCUCAGUUCGGAUUGUAGGCUGCAACUCGCCUACAUGAAGUCGGAAUCGCUAGUAAUCGCGGAUCAGCAUGCCGCGGUGAAUACGUUCCCGGGCCUUGUACACACCGCCCGUCACACCAUGAGAGUUUGUAACACCCAAAGUCGGUGGGGUAACCUUUUAGGAACCAGCCGCCUAAGGUGGGACAGAUGAUUAGGGUG
rnacentral:rRNA from 1 species